rnacentral:rRNA from 1 species
GACAGAGGUCCCAAGCGUUGUUCGGAUUCACUGGGCGUAAAGGGUGCGUAGGUGGUGAGGUAAGUCGGAUGUGAAAUCUCGGAGCUUAACUCCGAAAUGGCAUUGGAAACUACCUUGCUCGAGGGUUGGAGGGGGGACUGGAAUACUUGGUGUAGCAGUGAAAUGCGUAGAUAUCAAGUGGAACACCAGUGGCGAAGGCGAGUCCCUGGACAACUCCUGACACUGAGGCACGAAAGCUAGGGGAGCAAACAGG